GAGAACGAUCGUUAAAGGUUUCGCGAUGUUGUCUACGCGUUGAAUUGCACCGUUCAAACGGCGGGUCGUCUUGACUUUGUAAAUGAAGUCAGCUGCAGUGACAACGCGUCUCGGCCUGUCUCUGACGUCGUUUCAUGGUAAUUAACUCUAUUCAUUUAGGCGCAAACGCUCGGCGACUGAAUAAACGUUUCCCUUCUGGUAAUUGACUGAGAGUGUCGCGCGGAGUGACGCAAGUAUUUUUUCCUUUUUUUUUAUACGCAGAUCAAACACUUGCCAGAGAGCAUACGAAAAAGACGAAACUCCGACAUUGUUUGCGGAGUGCUAAUCGCUUCGAAGGUGUGACGACUAAAUACCGGCAGCCGUGUGUACGAACACGACUCGUGUUUGCGUUUAAUAUGUCGUUUCUCGCUUGGGGACGCGGACAUUUUGCGAAACUUUCGACAAGGGACUUCUUUACUGGCUGGAAAAAUAGGAAAUUAAUCGAACUAUCUCGAUUACGUAUGGUCACGCAUAUCCAGUGAUAAAUGUGGAAAUUAUGAUGAAAGUACAGCAAGCGUGUUAAUGAAUUCAGUAAUUAAGUCCACUCUUCGAGAUAUUAUCGAGAAACCAGUGUGAAACCACUUCGCUUCUUCGAGUACUGGUAAUUAUAGGAUGAUAGCGAAAAGUGCAAUGGUUCAGCUAUAUAGGUGUUUACGCUAUCGUCUAUCUUACUAUUCCAGUGUAAACUUGUUAUGCCAAGUUUUGAAUAUUAAUGAAAAAGACUCUCAAACACUGCAACUCUUUUUUGUUUUACUUUACAAUACACUGGCUCCUUGUAGUCGAAUACUUGAAAUCUAACACAUGGAGAUGGACCCUUUUAAGGAGGUGCCUAAUAACACCACCGAGCCUCAAAUACUUGACCAUAAGAAUACAUCUUAAACUCUACGUUAAAAGACGAUUAUGAUACUUUUACAGUGAAUCAGUUCCUCGAAUACCGUCCUCAAGUAUCGUGAGUUUCUCGAAUAUUCGCGAACCACCUGGGGUAGUUCGUUCAUCCCAAACGAAAACAUCGAGUGCAAAGUGUUAAUACUUUACAAGCUAGUCCAGUACAUAUUUUGAGUUUCUAGAACAUUCGAGAACCACCUAGAGUAUCUUGUUCACCCUAAAUAUCGAGCGCAAAGGGUUAAUGGGAUCGUCUGGCCUAACAUCAUCUGAUACACGUUUUUCGAAAUCGUGCAUCACAUUAACAGGGUGAGAGUAUCCGGAACAGUUCGAUGUACGUGCAUCGUUGUUGCGGAGUGUGCGAGGUCGUGUGGUUCCAGCAGGAUGUCACGUGAUAUGCGGUGUGCGGUACGUUGGCCAUUCGUGCUGUACAGUACGAUGCAUUUCCAGUUUGCUAGCCUGAGCUCUACCACCGGCUUAUGCUCGCCUCAAUAGAACGCGUGCUGCGACAUUCUUCGUUUUAUGCCGACACUGUCGCUGCCUCGAAUACGCGGUCACUGGAAUUAAGGGAAGUUCACAUCAUCGAGCACUUGUUAGAGUGAUAAACAACGUUAUCCAGAAGAUCGUAAUCCGUGAUUCAAGUCGCUCUAACGACGCAGCCAUCGAAUGGCAUCGACUGCCCGCGUAACGAAGCGUCGGCGUAGAUCACUGUAGAUCCUCCAGUGGUCUCUGCGAGUGGAAGACUUUCCUUGGGAUGAAUUUUCCUGUAUUGGAAACGGAGGAUAUUUAAGAUCAUAGGGGUUGGGCUGGUGAGAAAGUCUUUUGGAAGGAUUUUCCUGUAUUCGAAAUGGGAUUGUGUAAUAGUUGUUAAUUUGUAGAAUUUCUUUGAGGGGUGUUGGAUUUAUUAGAAUGUUUUCUAAGAUUUUGUAGAUAUGCUUGAUAUAUGAAUUCAUUUUUUUGUCCAAGCUACAACUUUACUUUGAAUAAAACUCUAAAAAAAGGAUGGAAUACUCUGUAUUUUGCUGUAUUAUUCUAUAUCAUGCUGUAUUGUCCUGUAAUACCCUAUGUGUUAUUUUGUACUGUCCUAGAAUAUUCUGUACUAUUAUGUAUUUUACUGUUUCUUAUGUAGUAUUAAGGUGCAUCGUGCUGAAGUAC